UCCGCCAAGGACGACCUGAACGCCACAGUCAACACGUCGAACAUCUUCGUGUCUCCGCUGCGGUGUCCGCCGGGUUACGGGCUGGAUCGGUUCCGACGCUGCCGAAAGUUGGUCUACUAAUGGCCGUCCGCAGGUUCCGCGCGGAAACUAAAAAAGGGUUUGUCGAAUCAACCGAAUUGUGGAUCAUAAAGAGUACGACCUUCGGAUAUAGUUUGAUAAGUAUACCAUGAUGUGUAUUUGUGCCAAUCAACCACUUGAGUUGUUAGGAAUAAUGUGCUUAACAUUGAAUAAACUAAGCUGAACAAUG